GGAGGAGAGUCAGGGUAGAGCGCAUGCCUAGCAUGCAUGAGGUCCUGGGUUCAAUCCCCAGUACCUCCA
rnacentral:tRNA from 1 species